rnacentral:rRNA from 1 species
CAUAUCAAUAAGCGGAGGAAAAGAAACCAACAGGGAUUGCCUCAGUAACGGCGAGUGAAGCGGCAAAAGCUCAGAUUUGAAAUCUGGCGUCAUUUUGGCGUCCGAGUUGUAAUCUGUAGAGGAGUAUUCGAGUGUGGCGCUGGCUUAAGUUCCUUGGAACAGGACGUCAUAGAGGGUGAGAACCCCGUUAACGGCCUUUGUCUUAUGCUCAUGUGAAUCUCCUUCAACGAGUCGAGUUGUUUGGGAAUGCAGCUCUAAAUGGGUGGUAAAUUCCAUCUAAAGCUAAAUACUGGCAAGAGACCGAUAGCGCACAAGUAGAGUGAUCGAAAGAUGAAAAGAACUCUGAACAGAGAGUUAAAUAGUACGUGAAAUUGUUGAAAGGGAAGCACUUGCUACCAGACACGCCUGUAGUUGAUCAACCUCCAUUCUUGGUGGUGCACUCAGCUAUAGGUGGGUCAGCAUCAGUUAUGGCGGUGGGAUAAAGACUUGGGGAAUGUGGCUUCUCUCGGGAAGUGUUAUAGCCCUGAGUGUAAUACCAUCUGCUAUGACUGAGGACCGCGCUUCGGCGAGGAUGCUGGCAUAAUGGUCGUAAGUGACCCGUCUUGAAACACGGACCAAGGAGUCUAACAUCUAUGCGAGUGUUUGGGUGUCAAAACCCUUACGCGGAAUGAAA